UACGUAGGGCGCAAGCGUUAUCCGGAAUUAUUGGGCGUAAAGAGCUCGUAGGCGGUUUGUCGCGUCUGCUGUGAAAACUCGGGGCUUAACCCCGGGCCUGCAGUGGGUACGGGCAGACUAGAGUGCGGUAGGGGAGACUGGAAUUCCUGGUGUAGCGGUGAAAUGCGCAGAUAUCAGGAGGAACACCGGUGGCGAAGGCGGGUCUCUGGGCCGUAACUGACGCUGAGGAGCGAAAGCGUGGGGAGCGAACAGG
rnacentral:rRNA from 1 species